UACGUAGGGUGCGAGCGUUGUCCGGAAUUAUUGGGCGUAAAGGGCUCGUAGGCGGUCUGUCACGUCGGGAGUGAAAACUCAGGGCUUAACCCUGAGCCUGCUUCCGAUACGGGCAGACUAGAGGUAUGCAGGGGAGAAUGGAAUUCCUGGUGUAGCGGUGAAAUGCGCAGAUAUCAGGAGGAACACCGGUGGCGAAGGCGGGUCUCUGGGCCGAUACUGACGCUGAGGAGCGAAAGCGUGGGGAGCGAACAGG
rnacentral:rRNA from 1 species